ensembl:lncRNA
UAUUUUACAGGCAAUACAUGAUAGGGAAUGUCUGGAAGUAUUAAUACAUUAGAAUGAUCAGAAGGAUACAGGAUAAAUGGUUAACAGUAUUCCCUGUCUUUGGGAAAGGGCUUAGACAGGAGCAGUGGGGGAAGAAAGGGAAGGUCUUUUUGCUUUAAAUUUUGUAGAUUUUUCUGUACGGUUGGUAUUUUCAACGAGGUACCACACCACGUUUAUGAUGACAACGCACUGUUCCCUGACAAACGGGCAAAAUCACUCCAUCCGCACUGUGCUGUACCCUCCCAGAAGUGCUUUCCCUUCAGCUGUAUUUCCUUCAAUCCUUGUAGCUUAGUGAGGCCCACAGCACAGGUGGCGUUCUCCCAUUCUGAAGUGACACAGAGGACAAGAGCCCUGCCCAAGGCCACAGACACAGGGGACAGAACCCUCCAUUUCCAAUUCCAGUUCAAAGCCUGGAAAGCUGUCUUCUCCCGGGAGCCAAGGAAAACGAUGACAAUUCUGCCCGGAUGUAAAGACCCUCAAAGACAUCUGAGACCGAAUUCCCCAUCUGGCUCACCUGGAAAGGGGCAAAGAGGCCACUGCUCAGCACCCAAGGGGAUAAGUGCAGAGUUCUAUCCCGCUGGUUAGCUUAAUGGAAGCCCAGGGCUUUCGGGUCUAGGCUGACUCUCCGCAAGGCAGUCCCCCCAUCUGGGAGUUCUCUGCCAGUUUAUUAUGAGAACAUAAAAGUGCUUCACAAAUAGGGGGCCGUGUCCUUGAUAGAUCCCAAACGUCACCAAGUAGACAGUUGGCACUUACAAGAUAGACCGAACAAAGAAAGUCUCACUCUUCUACUCACGGACCCUCACCAGACGCAGUCCCUCUGAGACCUAAAAGCACACAACACAAUCCAGUCCAGCUGGCUCAUCUGAUCUCCUCUCAAACCGGCUUAACGUACAACGCAGCUUAUCACUCCUGCCAAGAUGCCAUCAUGAAGACGGGCCACAUUGCAGCGUGAACAAGGCUGUACCAAGAUGUCUUGGCUGUGAGCGUGGAGCACACCAAGGGAGGACCAGCGAUACCACAGAAAAGCCAGCAGGUGACGGCAGGCACUAAAAGGAGCUCGAUGAAUAACAAAGAGGGUGCCGGCAGCCAAAGCCUUUUUAAGAUGCUAAUUAAGCAAGAAAAUACACCUGUGUGUACUCCAGUGCCUCUCUUAACUCCUUCUGGCUGGCUUAGAAAUGUGCGGUUAGAAUAUAAGGCU